AAACAUACGUAGAAUGGGAAGAGUAUAGUGCGAUCGCUUUUAGAGAGAGAAAUCAGUUGCUGAAAGAUUUCUUAAGUAUGAAGCAGUAGAAUGUCGCCCAGGAGUAGUUUCUUUGAAUAAGAGUAGAAGAAACCGGUAAAAACCGUUAUUUUGUUGAGUGUAUAGGCUAAGUCUAUUUUUUAGUCUAUAAAAAAAGGUGGUACCACGAAACUAUUCUCCUUUCGUCCUUUUA
rnacentral:ncRNA from 1 species